UUCCUUUUAUAGUUGAUUACUGUCGAAGCAUUUUUGGAUCUCAGGGCCAGGCAGUCAGUAAGCAUUUGUUAAGCACCUACUAUGUGCUUAAUAAAUAAAUAAACCAUCUUGGGGACUUGAGCUGAUUGAAGAAAUUUCUCCCUCUCCUUCCUCCCCAGCUCCAGGGGGAAAAAAUUGCCUCCGGUACCGCUAGAGGGCAGUGGGGAGAUGUAACUUACCGGGCUCUGGGAGAAUGAGGUCAGAAAUACUUGUUAACAUUUGUUGUGAUGGAGGUAGAAUCCCCUUGCUCCCAUUUUCCAGACAGAUUCCUGAAGAAAAGGAAUAAUAACACUACUCAUAGAAUAAAGGAAUCAAGGAAGUAAAGGCAAAAAAUACAAAAACCAAAGGAAACUCAGAGACAGGGAGGAAAGGAAACGGCCAGGUAUGCGUCAUUCAGUUUUCUUCUGCCUUCUCCCUCUUGCUGCCUACCUCAGCUUCAGAGCUGCUGGCAAGAAGACUGGCUUAAUCUUUAGAUUUCUCUACUGCCGAAUCUGAACAAAAACCUAGACCUUAAAAGCCUUGCACCUUUCCCUUAUUUCGACAGCAGGUGUCGCCUUCUGCAGGUAAUCAGAAAAAGAGAACAUCUAGCCCAGAACUCAUUUCCAGUAAUUGACCUCUGGUCCUAGCCUGGCCCCGCCUCCUCAUCCUUUGCCAGAAGCGGACAGAUUCACUUGCUCCAGCCUCCAGGACAAUCACGAGAAGCCUGCCUUAUAGCCUGGAUUUACAAGAUGUAUCUCACACCUGUAUGUAAAAGUUCAGUGAAGAAGUGAAAUUUGUAUGAGGGUAUCACCCCAGCCAGAGGGAUUUGUGCCCCAGCAGAACAGAAUGAAGUUGCCUUUCUGUGCAAUCUUCUUCAGACUGGAAAAGUGGACUGAUAUCUUCUUAAAGGGCUUCCUGGUCUACUGUCAAGUUAUGGCAGUCACCUGCAGCCCUCCCCAAAACAUGUCCUAUGAUGGUUUUGAGUAUGUCACCAGGUCUGGAGAAGAUAUCUACCAAGAUAAGAUCCAUUCCUCAUGCCGUGUGCCAUAUUACAAGAUAGCACCUUCCAUGGGCAGUGGCCAACCUCUACCUGGAACACCCACCAGCUUGGCCCACAGCAUCUUGAAAGAUGGAGAGGGAAGUGGGAAGAUUCCCCAAUGUUUACCUGGAACUGAGGCCCCCGAGACCGGAACUAGCUUGUCCAAGGUCACAGAGGAAAGCUGGUUCAACUCCUACUGAAACUGAGGCCGAACUGAGAUGAAAUAAAAUAGACAAAUAAUAUAGAUUCA
ensembl:lncRNA